GACGAACGCUGGCGGCGUGCCUAAUACAUGCAAGUAGGACGCAGUUGUGAACGGGUGAGUAACGCGUAGGUAACUACCUAUUAGAGGUGGUUAACUCUUUGAAACGAUAGCUAAUACCGCAUACUAGUAUAUGUUCCUUCGGUUUGUUAGCUAGUUGGUAGGGGUAAGGCCUACCUAGGCAAAGAUACAUAGCCGGCCUGGGAGGGUGAACGGGCAAACUGGGACUGAGAAACGGGCCAGACUCCUACGGGAGGCAGCAGUAGGGAAUCUUCGGAAAUGGGGGGAACCCUGACCGAGCAACGGCGCGGGAGUGGAGAAGGUUUUCGGAUCGUAAAGCUAUGUUGUUAAGGAAGCGGUACUUAACCAGAAAGGGACGGCUAACUACGUGCCAGCCGCCGCGGUAAUAC
rnacentral:rRNA from 1 species